rnacentral:rRNA from 1 species
UACGGAGGGGGCAAGCGUUAUCCGGAUUUACUGGGUGUAAAGGGAGCGUAGGCGGCCAUGUAAGUCAGAAGUGAAAGCCCGGGGCUCAACCCCGGGACUGCUUUUGAGACUGUGUGGCUGGAGUGUCGGAGGGGUAAGUGGAAUUCCUAGUGUAGCGGUGAAAUGCGUAGAUAUUAGGAGGAACACCAGUGGCGAAGGCGGCUUACUGGACGAUCACUGACGCUGAGGCUCGAAAGCGUGGGGAGCAAACAGG